GUCCUUGUCGAUUAGUGGUUAAAUCAUCUCGUUGUGGUUAACUACUCCGAGAAGCCGGAAGUUCGAAUCCUCCCUGGGACA
rfam:Laccaria bicolor S238N-H82 LACBIscaffold_5 genomic scaffold, whole genome shotgun sequence.